GCGACUUUGAUUUCUCAGUUCAAGAGGAGACCUCCCUACAUCUGCGGGCUGGCGGUCCUGCCGGCCAGCCGACACAAAAUCCAAUUCGAGUUUGAAAUACGGAGCCAGAAAGAGUUUUUCAAUUCAAUACGGAGCCUGAAAGAGUUUUUCAAUACAAUACGGAGCCUGAAAGAGUUUAUAAAUACAAUACGGAGCCUGAAAGAGUUUUUAAUUCAAUACGGAACCUGAAAUAGUUCAAUUAAAGAUCAAAUGGCGCAAAAGAGUUUGCUUAGAAGGGAAAAUACCAAAACCGCAUAUAAAAAGACAUAAAAAAAUGAACAUACAUAGGUACCAUAGGCAAAAGCGGCUGGCUGCUAAAAUAAUUCAAAUGCAUUUGAUAAAACAUUUGCAUUUGGUAAAACAUCUACAUUUGAGAGAAGUGAAAGUAAUCCAUAUUUGCAUUUGCGGCGACUAAAUCCGGAAUCUGAGAAUAAGGGUUUGGAUUAGGGGGAGGAGGGGAAUUUAUUGAUUCCUCCACCUCCAUGUAGUUCGAACUCACACUUUCUACGCUAAAAGCCGGCCCAUUGACUGAGUUUGGGUAUGACGACGAAGGGUUAAAUUCCACAAUCAUUCCAUCCAUGGAAUCAGGGAUAAAAAAAGGAUCCAUCGUGACCCCCCAUCUUUUUAAGCUCUGCUCCCAAACUAAAGAGAAAGGAAA
rnacentral:lncRNA from 1 species